UGUAACCAAACUACUAUUAUUGUACCACAACCAUUUUCACCUUAUUAUUGACCGAAGAAUUUCAUUUACAGUUUAUGACCAAUGAUCUGCAUUACAAUAUGAAAAAAAUCGAUCAUUGUACACAUUUCAGCUGACAUGUUGUUUCCUGCUUUUUAAUAUGAUGUUGUUUGUCCGAGAGGAAGUGGCUGUGAACAAUUAUAGAUAUUGUAAAAAGGUAACAGUGAAAUAGAAUUUACCAAAGCUGGAAUUCUGAGAUAAAAAAAAAUCCUUUCUUGAUGGCACAUGUUGGAGACAAUACAUCACUUAUAGAUACUCUGCCCAGAACUAGAAUUUUGUGUACAUGGAAAUGCUGUGGAUUUCUUCAAAAUGUGCCUCUAUUCUUCAUGACUUAUUAGACUUAUAUACAUGCUGAAGUGUUUAAUUUUGUUAUAUAGAUAU